AGUCUGUUUAUUAGUUCUAACUGAUGCAUUGGGGUUAUGAUAUGAUAUUUUAAUCCAAUUGAUGAAUGAUUUUCCAAAACCAAACCUAUGGAGGGCUCGAGUUCUCCAGCAGUCCAGAGGAAACCUCAAGCUUUGCCAAGCCGCGUGUCACGGUGCCUCUGUCAGCCCCGCCCCCCUCUGCUCUGCUCUGCUCCUGACUCCACCAGCUGUGGCCACUUCACCCUCAUCAACCAGCCUGCUCUUAAGGAGAUCCAGCUCAAUCAUUCAACGCCAGUUCGUUACCCCUUAUGGAUUCAUCAACACGAAGGUCACCUGUGUGGAAGUCACCUGUUUCUCACCUGCUGCCUCUGAGGAUGUCAGGAAUUAUCAGCCGCAAUAUUACCUCCAGCCACGUCACGAGCCUCCUUCCAGUCUGGAUUGCCAUCCUGUCAAAAUAAUCUAGUUAUCUCCAGUGAGAUUAAAAUCUACUUACCAAGCCA